CAGCUUACUGGAUGUACACUGACGCUCAGGGACGAAAGCGUGGGGAGCAAACAGGAUUAGAUACCCUGGUAGUCCACGCCGUAAACGAUGAUCAUUAGCCGCUAGAAUAUUUAGUGGCGCAGCUAACGCAUUAAAUGAUCCGCCUGAGUAGUAUGCUCGCAAGAGUGAAACUUAAAGGAAUUGACGGGGACCCGCACAAGCGGUGGAGCAUGUGGUUUAAUUUGAAGAUACGCGUAGAACCUUACCCACUCUUGACAUCUUCCGCAAUACUAUGGAGACAUAGUGGAGGUUAACGGAAUGACAGAUGGUGCAUGGUUGUCGUCAGCUCGUGCCGUGAGGUGUUAGGUUAAGUCCUGCAACGAGCGCAACCCCUGUCUUUAGUUACUAACGGAUAAUGCCGAGGACUCUAGAGAGACUGACUGGGUAACCAGUAGGAAGGUGGGGACGACGUCAAAUCAUCAUGCCUCUUACGAGUGGGGCAACACACGUGCUACAAUGGACGGUACAAAGAGAAGCAAUAUGGUGACAUGGAGCAAACCUCAAAAAACCGUUCUCAGUUCGGAUUGAAGUCUGAAACUCGACUUCAUGAAGUUGGAAUCGCUAGUAAUCGUAGAUCAGCUACGCUACGGUGAAUACGUUCUCGGGUCUUGUACACACCGCCCGUC
rnacentral:rRNA from 1 species